UAAGCACCUAAUUUCCUCGAACGUUAUUUAUGUCAGAAGAGAUUUUAUAGGUUUUUUGUAUUUUACUUCUGUCACGCGGCAGUAUCUUUUAGCAGGACACAAUUGGACAGAAAUUAAGUAAAUGAAAUGAAAAAGCUAAGGAAGAUUACAUCAUUUCCAUUUAUAGGAAAUUAAUAAGUGAAAAAUGUGUCGAACAGCGCAUGCUAUCCUCCAAACAGCAAUAUGUGGGGUUCAAAUGCUCGUCCGCGUCUUUAUGACGGUCAUACUUAUGCUAGAGAACGUGAUUCGGAUGGUGUUGCAAACAUCGUAUAAUUUCAUUUCGUUCAUGCUCCAAAUGAUAUCACUAAUACCUAUAUGCGUUGUUUUUCUCCUCACUGCGAGACUAAAAUGUUUCAUGUGUGGAGGGGGCGGGCCCUGUCCCGUGAAUAAAGGAGGCGCCUGCGACUGCCUUAUGUCCGCAGUGGCCAUUGUUAUUCUCUUCAUCAUCUUCAGAGCGACUGGCGUGCUGGACAAGAUGUUAUACAGUAUCGGCUACGUUAAAGCUCGGGCCUUAGCUCACACGCGGUUCGUGCCUACGCCAGGUGAUAUCACGGAAUGUUCUAGAAACCAAACAGAGGAAACCGAGACUAUUCAUGGUAUUAUGUCCACUAGUGAAAUGACGCAUGGGACAAACAGCAUGCAUACGACAGCCACGGAGAUUUUCAAAUCGACUACAUCGAAGAAAUUGUUGAGGGAGGGUCUGUUUUUUAAAUUAACCACUCUGUCCAGCGAUAAUUUUGAUACGAUAAUAGAGCACUACUUCGCGUGAUAGAAUUUGUUUGCAUUUGUUUUGUUCGAAAAAAAAAAAAAAAAAACAAAAAUAUAUAUUUUGUAAACGAACAUCGUUAGGUUAUUGAAAUACAGAAUUUUCCUAUACGA